GACGAACGCUGGCGGCGUGCCUAAUACAUGCAAGUCGAGCGGGCCUCCGGAGGUGCUUGCACCUCCGGACGGCCAGCGGCGGACGGGUGAGUAACACGUGGGCAACCUGCCUUUGAGGCCGGGAUAACACCGGGAAACCGGUGCUAAUACCGGAUACGUCCUCUUUCGCGCCUGCGAGAGGGGAGAAAGACGGUCUUUAAGGCCGUCGCUCAAAGAGGGGCCCGCGGCGCAUUAGCUGGUUGGUGGGGCAAGGGCCUACCAAGGCGACGAUGCGUUGCCGGCAUGAGAGGGUGAUCGGCCACACUGGGACUGAGACACGGGCCAGACUCCUGCGGGAGGCAGCAGUAGGGAAUCAUCCGCAAUGGGCGAAAGCCUGACGGUGCAACGCCGCGUGAGUGAGGAAGGUUUUCGGAUUGUAAAGCUCUGUUGUGAGGGAAGAACAGCAUCCGGAGGAAAUGCCGGAGGUUUGCCGGUACCUCACCAGAAAGCCCCGGCUAACUACGUGCCAGCAGCCGCGGUAACAC
rnacentral:rRNA from 1 species